ACUCCUACGGGAGGCAGCAGUGGGGAAUAUUGCACAAUGGGCGCAAGCCUGAUGCAGCGACGCCGCGUGGGGGAUGACGGCCUUCGGGUUGUAAACUCCUUUCGUCAGGGACGAAGCGAAAGUGACGGUACCUGGAUAAGAAGCACCGGCUAACUACGUGCCAGCAGCCGCGGUAAUACGUAGGGUGCGAGCGUUGUCCGGAAUUACUGGGCGUAAAGAGCUCGUAGGUGGUUUGUCGCGUCGUUUGUGUAAGUCCACGGCUUAACUGUGGGAUGGCAGGCGAUACGGGCAUAACUUGAGUGCUGUAGGGGAGACUGGAAUUCCUGGUGUAGCGGUGAAAUGCGCAGAUAUCAGGAGGAACACCGAUGGCGAAGGCAGGUCUCUGGGCAGUAACUGACGCUGAGGAGCGAAAGCAUGGGUAGCGAACAGGAUUAGAUACCCUGGUAGUCCAUGCCGUAAACGGUGGGCGCUAGGUGUGAGUCCCUUCCACGGGGUUCGUGCCGUAGCUAACGCAUUAAGC
rnacentral:rRNA from 1 species